GUUGGGCGUGUCCCCAUCAAGGCCCUUCCUCUGUGUCUCACCCCUCUCCUGGCCCCCACGGGCCCUCGCUCUCCAGGAACUGAGUGCCUGGGUACAGAGGAAGGGGCACCUCCGCCCUCUGCUGUGUCACGACAGGACGGCGAUGCCUGAGCAUGUUCUGAGAGCCCGAGCGAAGCUGAAGACGGAGCUCGAGAGUACCACCUCCUGUGAGAGACCACUCAGGAAGACCGAUCACACAGAGCAGUUCGAAGCACGUGCCUCGGCAGCGACUGGCAAACCUAACUUAGAGGACCUGCGUCAACUACUAGGAUCCGGUGAUGAGGCCACCAACGAGAUAGGAGUGAGCUUCAGGAAGUGAAGCUUCCAGGAAACUUCCUAACAGAAGGCUGACCCGCCCAGGAGAUUUACCAGCACCGGCUUCUCGCGGCCAUCCCGGUGCAAAAUGGGAUGCAGAAGAAAUUCAGAGCUGCGGGCGAAGGCGGGCACUGGGGCACCCUUAGUGCUAUGCUAACCACCUGGUGAAUGCGGAACUACGCCGGGGAAGGUCUCAUUUAGUCCCUCACAGAGAAGACGCUGGGCAGCCUGCCUACCUCCGUGCGGUUCACUCGGGCUGUGGGCUUUCCUGUCUCGUUCAACCUUCAGGUCAAUCCUCCAAAGAAAAAACCAAGUUACACAUUUUACAAAUGGAGGCUUAGAGAGGUGAAAUAACUUGCCCACAGUCACAUAACCAGAAAGCGUUGAAGUGGGACCUAAACCCAGCUCCGUCAGACUCUUACACCGUGGCCUGGGUCUGCAGACGUUUCUGAUAACACAUCUGCAUCAGAAAGAAAUGGUUUUUGAGCUUGUAACUGAAACUAUUUAUGGGUAACAUGUGUGCUAUAGUAGUAGUAACGUGCGGUGCCCUGACCCUGAGACACAGCUCCUCUGCGCUGGUGCCAGAGACCCCGCCGUCUUUUAACUCUGCACUGUCCAAGGGAAAUUUGUAACUUCGAGUUUUCUAGUAGUCACGUUUAAACAAAAAGUAAAAAGAAACAGGUGAUGUUGAUGUUGAUCGUGUCUUUAUUUUGCAUGCUUUAUUUACUCCACACCGCCUUUGGAGUCGGGUAUGUGCCUGACACCCCCAACACAUCCCCCUUUGGACUAGACACCUUUCAAGCGUUCAACGGGCACGUGUGCUGGAGGCUGCCAGGGUGGACAGUGCGGUCCUAAUAACUUCUGCUCUGUGCUCUUUCCACUACGUCUUGACGUGUCAAAGAACAUUUUCUGAACAGCUUGUAAUCUAAAAGGAGACCAAGUAAAGAAUUCUGCAGUAAUGCUGAACUAUAUAACUACAGCACAGACUGUACUUUCAAAUUCUGAAUUGAGAGAAUUAUUGAAGUUUGAAAUAAAUUUUAUAGAACCUGGAGUGUAAAAACCAAGAAAUUUUAGACCCCAGAAUAUCAAGUGUUACAUGGUAUUAUCUGUUAGUGGGUACUAGGUUGUUUGCUCCUUCAAAGUAGUGGCCAUGAAUGUUCUUGGCUAAAAGGAUCUCAUGUAAAAUUGGAAAAACUAAGUUCUUAAUUUCAUUCGUCUUAGCCCGCAACAUUAAUAUGCAGGAUAAAUGAAAUUCUUAGGUUUGAUUAAGGCAUUCCACAGUCUGAUAAGGCAACAGUUCCAGUUCAGAUGAAAGCAUGAUUCCUAAGGGAUUUAAACGCAUCACAAAAUAUCAGAUUUUUGAAUAUUGUAUAUGGAAAAUAUUAAUUGGAACCAGUUUCAGUAACUGAAAUCAAAACCAUGACAAAAGGAGAGCUGAAAGGCAAUGGAAGUACAAACGAGGAUGCUUGGGGCCAAUGUGGAUCUACCACUGCUCAGCCUCGUGAGUUUGGAUAAGCGAUUUAACCUCUCUGAACCUGUAUGCAAGGGAGUGACACGUUUAGACUUGAAUUUUGCAAUAGUUCAGGGCAUGCUGAGAUGGGAAAGAGAAUCUAUGUGAAGCCCAUGGUAUAGUACACCAAGCACACAGCCAACAUUCACUACUGAAGAUGAUAGUGAUGGUGAUUUCCUGGUCAACACCCACUACUCAAUCCUGGGGAUGAUUUCAAAAUCUGCUCUCCUAACUGGUUUAUACUAAAUUUCUAAUUAUGAGAUACAUGGUGUUGUACUUAAACCAAUGUUAUAAUAUGUGCAUGUUAUGGGCUGAACUGUGUUUUCCCCCAAAUCAUAUGUUGAAGCCCUGACCCCCAGCACCUUAUAAUGUGUAUUUGGAGACAAUCAAUCAUCUUUAAAGAGGUGAUUAAGUUAAAAUGGGGCCUUUUGUGGGCCCUAGUCCAAUCUGACUGCUGUCAUAACAAGGAAGGAAAUUUGGACACAAAGAGAAAGCAGGGAUGCACGCGCACAGAGGACACAGAGAGAAGGCGGCCAGCUGCAAGUCAAGGAGAGGGGCCUCAGAAGAAACCAGAUCUGCCAACGCCUUGAUCUUGGACCUCCAGCCUCUGUAACCUUGAGAAAACAAAUUUCUGUUGCUUUAAAUACAGUCUGUGGUAUUUUGUUACGGUAACUCUAGCAAACUAAUACAGCACCUGGAACCAUUCUUCACGCUGCUCCAUAAUAUAGCUGCUUCAUUGUGAUUUACAGUAGACGGUGAAGAGGAAGACAGACAGACAGACCAAGGUGCUCAGUCGGGCCCCUUCGCUUGUAAGUUGCAUGAUCUUAGGCAAGUUACCUAAUUUUUGUAAACCAGUUUUUCUUCUUUAAAAGGACUGAUGCUUAUUUCACAGGUUAUGAGGAUUAAAUGAAUAUUAAGAAUAACCGACCAACAGUGACUUCUGCACUUGCCAACGUGUGGAAUUCUCAUACAAUUCUCUGUAACUUCUUCAGGUAGCACUGAAAAGAUCACUUCCGGGCAGGUGGGCUGGCUGUCAUGAAAGGUGUUUCUUUUACGUGAGUCUUCCUGACAUUUAAAGGGCUUAUAAUUCAGAACGUGCCAGCCUCCUAAUGGGUCUCUGCCUCCAGGCUCGCCAUCUGCCAAUCCGGCCUCUCUACUGCCUUCUAAUUCAUUUCUCUGAAUCCAGGUGUGAACACACCACUCCCUUGCCUGUACCUCGUCGCUGGCUCCCCACUGCUGCCCACGGUCCGGAGCCUGCACCCUGAGACUGCGGAGGAUGCGGUCACUCCCUCUCCUGCCUCAUCUGUCCCGUGCACCACGCCCUCCAGCUCAGGCAGCACUUCUUGUGUCAGGCUCUGUGCCUUGCUCUGGCUUUGGGAAAUGUCCUUCUCUGUUUGUACCCUGGUGACCCCUACUUCCCCUUCACUUUCUCAGUGAAAUGUCCCCAGUGUUCCCAACCAGACUUGAGCACUGUCUUUUUAUGGAAAUACUGUGUUUUUCCUCAGACUUUCAUGUGAUUACCAUAUUACAUUGCUUUUAAAUAUUUGUAUUUCAUUCUAGCCUGUGAACUUCCCAAGGAGAGGGUCUCUGUCUCAAUAAUCUUUGUAAUCCAACAUCGAGCACAGUGCCUACAUUUAA